GGAGUUAGCCGGUGCUUCUUCUGCGAGUAACGUCACAGAUGUAAGGUAUUAACUUACACCCUUUCCUCCUCGCUGAAAGUGCUUUACAACCCGAAGGCCUUCUUCACACACGCGGCAUGGCUGCAUCAGGGUUUCCCCCAUUGUGCAAUAUUCCCCACUGCUGCCUCCCGUAGGAGUCUGGGCCGUGUCUCAGUCCCAGUGUGGCUGAUCAUCCUCUCAGACCAGCUAGGGAUCGUCGCCUAGGUGAGCCUUUACCUCACCUACUAGCUAAUCCCACCUGGGCUUAUCCAUCAGCGCAAGGCCCGAAGGUCCCCUGCUUUCCCCCGUAGGGCGUAUGCGGUAUUAGCAGUCGUUUCCAACUGUUAUCCCCCACAAAUGGGCAAAUUCCCAGGCAUUACUCACCCGUCCGCCGCUCGUCAUCUUCAAAAGCAAGCUUUUGAAAUGUUACCGCUCGACUUGCAUGUGUUAGGCCUGCCGCCAGCGUUCAAUCUGAGCCANAAUCAAACCUCACACUGAGGCGGUCGUGGACGACGGCGACGUAGUAG
rnacentral:rRNA from 1 species